rnacentral:rRNA from 1 species
CCUACGGGAGGCAGCAGUAGGGAAUAUUGCUCAAUGGGGGAAACCCUGAAGCAGCAACGCCGCGUGUAGGAUGAAGGUUUUCGGAUUGUAAACUACUUUUGUUAGGGAAGAUAGUGACGUUGUCUAACGAAUAAGCACCGGCUAACUCCGUGCCAGCAGCCGCGGUCUUACGGAGGGUGCAAGCGUUACUCGGAAUCACUGGUCGUAAAGAGCGCGGAGGCGGGAUAGCAAGUCAGAUGUGAAAUCCUAUGGCUUAACCAUAGAACUGCAUUUGAAACUGUUAUUCUAGAGUAUGGGAGAGGGAGGUAGAAUUCUUGGUGUAGGGGUAAAAUCCGUAGAGAUCAAGAGGAAUACUCAUUGCGAAGGCGACCUGCUAGACCAUAACUGACGCUGAUGCGCGAAAGCGUGGGGAGCAAACAGGAUUAGAUACCCGUGUAGUC